AGUGAACGCUGGCGGUAGGCCUAACACAUGCAAGUCGAACGGCAGCACAGUAAUAGCUUGCUCUUACGGGGUGCGAGUGGCGGACGGGUGAGGAAUACAUCGGAAUCUACUUUUUCGUGGGGGAUAACGUAGGGAAACUUACGCUAAUACCGCAUACGACCUACGGGUGAAAGCAGGGGAUCUUCGGACCUUGCGCGAGUGAAUGAGCCGAUGUCGGAUUAGCUAGUUGGCGGGGUAAAGGCCCACCAAGGCGACGAUCCGUAGCUGGUCUGAGAGGUUGAUCAGCCACACUGGAACUGAGACACGGCCCAGACUCCUACGGGAGGCAGCAGUGGGGAAUAUUGGACAAUGGGCGAAAGCCUGAUCCAGCAAUACCGCGUGGGUGAAGAAGGCCUUCGGGUUGUAAAGCCCUUUUGUUGGGAAAGAAAAGCAGCAGGUUAAUACCACGCUGUUCUGACGGUACCCAACGAAUAAGCACCGGCUAACUUCGUG
rnacentral:rRNA from 1 species